rnacentral:rRNA from 1 species
AACGAACGCUGGCGGCAUGCCUAACACAUGCAAGUCGAACGAGACCUUCGGGUCUAGUGGCGCACGGGUGCGUAACGCGUGGGAACCUGCCUUUAGGUUCGGAAUAACUCAGAGAAUUUUGAGCUAAUACCGGAUGAUGUCUUCGGACCAAAGAUUUAUCGCCUUUCGAUGGGCCCGCGUUGGAUUAGCUAGUUGGUGGGGUAAAGGCCUACCCAGGCGACGAUCCAUAGCUGGUCUGAGAGGAUGAUCAGCCACACUGGGACUGAGACACGGCCCAGACUCCUACCGGAGGCAGCAGGAGGGAAUAUUGGACAAUGGGCGAAAGCCUGAUCCAGCAAUGCCGCGUGAGUGAUGAAGGCCUUAGGGUUGUAAAGCUCUUUUACCCGAGAUGAUAAUGACAGUAUCGGGAGAAUAAGCUCCGGCUAACUCCGUG